UACGUAGGGUGCGAGCGUUAAUCGGAAUUACUGGGCGUAGAGCGUGCGCAGGCGGCUUUCCAAGUCAGUGGUGAAAGCCCAGAGCUCAACUCCGGAAAUGCCAUUGAAACUGUGAAGCUUGAGAACGAGAGAGGUGAGUGGAAUUCCCCAGUGUAGAGGUGAAAUUCGUAGAUAUUGGGAAGAACACCAGUGGCGAAGGCGGCUCACUGGCUCGUAACUGACGCUCAUGCACGACAGCGUGGGGAUCAAACAGG
rnacentral:rRNA from 1 species